rnacentral:rRNA from 1 species
AUGCUGCAGCCCCCCUAUCAGAUCAUUGCUGAAUAUAAUGCCGCGAUCCCUGAGGCCGAGCGCGAGAAGCUGAAGGACAGCGCCUUUGAGGAUCUACUAAGGGGCGCACAGGAGGCAAUUGUCAUCCCUCCAUGGUUUGCUCUCGCCAUCCGGCCAAGGCCCGGCUUCUGCGAGUAUGUGAGGGUAAAUGUGAGCGAGCUUGGUGUUGAGGAGUUAAGUGUCCCUGAGUAUUUGCAGUUCAAGGAACAAUUGGCGAAUGGAAGCACCGAUAACAACUUUGUGCUUGAGCUGGACUUUGAGCCAUUCAACGCCUCAUUCCCGCGCCCAUCGCUGUCGAAGUCCAUUGGCAAUGGUGUGCAGUUUCUGAACAGGCACUUGUCGUCGAAGCUGCUCCAUGACAAGGAGAGCAUGUACCCAUUGCUUAACUUCCUUCGUCGAAGCUGCUCCAUGACAAGAACCAUUAUGUUGAACGACAGAAUUCGCCGUCUCAGUACCCUCCAAGGUGCACUCAGGAAGGCAGAGACACAUCCGUCAGGCCUUCCAGCGGACACCCCAUACUCGGAGUUCCACCACCGGUACUGUAUAUAA